UCCUAAUUGCUGAUGAAAUCCUUAACAAACAAAUACCCUAAUUUAAUUGCUAACCCUAACCAACAACCACAAACCAGGCCUAGUAGUGGAGUGGUGAAGGGAAUCUGGAUGGGCUUAUUGGAUUGAAGCCCAUCCUAAUCAAUCAGCUAAAAACGAGAAAAAAAGGAUGGAAUUGGAGUUUGUGAGGUAAUAUCAGAUUAUCAGCUACCUCUACCUCUGUUAAUGAUGAAAAUAUGAUGCUAGUUUUGUUUUAAUGUUUUGUAAAUAGUUCUACAAUCUGGCAUUAGAUACGGUGAAUGAUAAAUAAAAAGAAAAAGUGUUCUAUUGAACUCCCAAAGAUCACUCUGUCUCAUUUCCUGAGAAUGUCCAAGGAGGGAAGUUGGUAGUUUGUUCGGACAGAACCGCAGUCCAUUGUCCAUACAAUAAAACCUUAACAUUAUUGGAUAUUAUAGCCUUGCCUCUGUACCAUGAUCACAAUCUUGUUUAUUUUAUUUUCCUAAAUAUUAUUGUAAAUUAGUUCUCCAACCUGUAUUUUUUUAGCUGGUUGAUUCCAUCAGUCAACAAUAAAAUGUUGGUUGUUGGAUUACAUUGUUGUAUUGUAGCUUAUGAAAUAAGAUUUUAAUAUUUAUCACAAAUUUUGAUUAUCAGAUUUUGUGUCUUUAUUACGUGAUGUUUAACUUAUACUUUCUCCCGAGAUCCUUAUUAUAAGAAAAAAUUCACGUUACAUAAUUAUUCAAUGCAUCAAUUCCCCCCAUGAUCCACACGGUUCCCAGCCCAUGAUCCACACGGUUCCCAGCGGAUUAUUACAAACGGAAGACAUGAACACGGACUUCGCAGCUGCGCAGACGGUGAAGCUUUCGCCACCGUCCUCCUUCCAUCUUCUUUUCGUCUCCGCUCCACUGCUUCUCGCUUCAGUCACACUUCUCUUCUUCUGUUCUAUUUCUGUUUCUCUGUUUUUUUCUGCUGUUCUGUGAAUUCAGAUUUUAUCUGUUGCAGCUUGUUGAAGAUUUUUGUUGGAGAUAACGGUUGAACGUGGAUGGAGGGGGAAUAGAGGAUGAAAAAGGUGUUUUGGAAGAUCGUUUCUGAUAUAUUUUGUUUGGUUCUAUAGGUUUUAGGGGUUUAGGAUUCUGUUGAGAGAAUUGGAGAGGGAAGGUCGAGGUACUGUGAGGAUUUCUUGGUUUUAAGUUGCUGGUUCUGUUAGCGAGAGUUGCAGGGUGAAGGUCUGAUGCAGAGAUAGGAGUUUGCAGAAUGUGCUUCUCUGAUGCAGAAGCUUGCAGAUUAGGGUCGAGAAUCUGUGGAAUGCAGCAGAUGAAAAAUAGAGUGCCGACCCUUGAAGUGUGAAGAAUGGAAAUGAGAUUGGUUGAUGCGAAUCAAAUGCCAGCAUUCACCCUGCAAUGAACCGAUCCCUUAUUUUGAAGAAAAACCAGUUAGCUCAAAUUAUGGGAAUUAAUGGACGACUGCUAAAACAGUAAUGUCGGUUCUAACGUUGGAUUAGUGGUUUUCCACUUGGUUUGUAGAAGUAAUAUGGUUUACAAAUAAGCUAACAUUGUUAUUUAGUACAUUAUACUGGCUUGUGCAUCACUAUUAUGAGCUUAAACAGUGAAUGAAAUUGUGUAUUGCAGUGCAGUUAAAAUUCCCAGCCGACUUCGAAAUGUCGUGUUGCGAAGUUUUAAAGGAUAUCCCGCUGCUAUAGAUUAACCAUUAGCCAAGGUCUUAAGUCAAGUUUUGGCUUCACUUGGCAUGGUGGGCAAAAUUGCAAGUCAACUUCAAGGCAAGAAAGGCAAGUUCAAGAUAUGAUGACCAAUUUGGCAAAAGCUUGAUUAAUGGAGUAAAUGGUGGCCAUGGAUGAUAAUGAGAUGCUACAAUGAUGAAGAUGUAAUUAGUGUUAAGAUCCUAGGGUGCAAAAAUGAUGGUUGACUUUGGUCAAUUGUUUGACCAAAAAGUCAACAAUUGACCAAAAGUCCAACAUUUUGUAAAAUGAAUUUUGAUUUAUUUUUGUAAAGAACAAGGCAC